AUUGUCAACAUGUUUCACUGAAGCAGCUGAUAAUUUUACAUAGAGUCAGUGGGUUAAUUUACAACAAAAUGUGAACUUUUGAAAUUAAACAAUGUACUUGAAGUUAUUGCCAGCAAUGAUUGAAAUCAGAUAAACAAAAUGCUGCUGAUGUGUUUCAUUUUAGUUUUCUUCAUUUCCGGAUCAUAAAGAUGCCGUUCUGGAGUGAAAUCAAUUUUAAUUCCAAAAUUGAUAAAUAAAUGCUUUCAGUUGGAAAAGAUUGAUGAGACACAUGACGUGGCAGAAUGAUGUGCAGCUGAAUCAAACCGUGGUGGUGUGAAUCAAAAGCAUUUAGAUAGGUGUGGAUUUUUUAACACACACACACACACACCGUGUGUUGAAUUGCAGCAGAGUAAAUGAUGCUGACAGUAAUGUGGAGUGACUCAGGGUGACUGAAUGGAUGGAUGAAUCGUGACUCAGCUGUUUUUAGUCGCAUUGUGAAUAACCUGACAGGUUGAACCGUUAACCAGCGGGCCUCCACCCAGGCUGCACCGUCACCGUCCCCCACACCCAGACGACACCGACUAACAGCGCCCUAACAGCGACUUCCUGACUCAAAGCAGCUCGAUACCGAGGCCACGGCGUCCUUCCUCUUCCCGGGGAUGACACGCCCGGCUCGCCUCGUCGGAUUGCGAGGGUCUGGUCACUGCCGCAGGACCUCCACUCGGCAAAGAUGGCCGGCCCGGGCCACACGGCCAGGGGGAAGACCCGGCCCGGUCCAGUUGGGACCACGCACAGAUAAUUUCGUCGAAACUCGAAUAACUCCUAAACUAAUGUCUACGAGUGGAGCUGUUGCUUCAUGUAAUCGCUGAUUUCUAUUUUUUUUUUUUUUUUUUGAAGGUUGCGAAUCACCGAACUGCGGUCCGAAGGGGCAAGCCGAAAUACCCGGACCGAUUCUAGCGCGCGUCACGCUGCCCACCGCGCCGCGGAGCGGAGCAACGGUCCUCCGGAGCGGCGAACCCCCGGGCCCCGGGGGAGCCGCCGCGCGCCGCACCCAGCACCGCUGUAUUCACGUCGACCCACGGCGUCGUCCCCCGACUGCUCCUUACCAUGAUGUCCCGGGGUUUGUAAGCGCUGCUUCAGCGUCAGAUGGAGUCUUCCAAGUCGGGUGAACAGGGAGCGGAGAAUAUGGCCAUUUCACCGGGGGAGGCGGAUGAUAAAGAGAAGGGGCGGGGGCGGGGCCGGAAGACUUCAGAGCGCCGAGCCGAACCAACCGCCUGCGAGCCGCGCGGAAAAAAAACCACAUCACCUUAAAAGCGUAUUUUAAGUGUAGACAUCAGCGACAACAUUUGUAGAGCUAAUAGACAUUUUUAUCGGGGUUCGCUUUAAAGGCAAACAAGCGAACCAUUGAAAAUGGUGGUGUGUCAUGCUCAUGGAACACUUUGAUCUUGGAAGGUGAGGUGCCACCAGUUUUUCGCCUGAAGGGAAAAUUGGAUGACAUGACAGAGGUCAGUCUGCUUUCCUUUUGUCUCAAUAUUUAUUUGUUGUUUUUAGUCAAUGUUAUGUCAGGUUUCCCAUCCCUGGACAUGAUUCAUUAACUGAUUUUGUGAGCUAUGCUUUUAUUUAAUGCAGUACAGCCUUUUAAAGUAACACUAAGGAACUUUCAGUUUCCGUUGAUUUUGGCGGCGCCAGUGGACAAAAGCGGUAGUGUUUUGCCUAAAGGAAUACUACAGUUCCCAUGAGGACUAGUGCGUGACGUC